GGGUUUCGGCACAGCAGCCAUUUUUCAGCAGCCCGCGACAUAACAAAAAAAGAAAAAAAAACUUAAGGAUGACAUUUGUUGACAUGGGCCACAAGAUUAGUUAAAAAAGGUGGGCAGAGUGAGAAGGGAGGUUGUCAGAAAACUGGUGCUAUUACUACUAAUAAAUUUGUUUAUAUACUGUUGAACUUUUCUCUAUAUUUGAAGAUACAAAUAAACCGUUUAUGAUUAAAAGA